AUGGUGAUGGUGGCGCCGGCGCGGGGGUGGGGGCGGUUCGUGGUGGAGAAGAGCAGCGUGAGGGUGCUGGCGCCGGAGCACAUAUGGGGCCACCACGACGCCACCAUCGUCAACUUCGGGGUGCCCGACUACGGCGGCACGCUCACAGGCGUCGUGCUCUACCUGGACAAGAAGGCCACUGGAUGCGCCGAGUUCCCGACCAGAGUGCUACUUCGCGCUCAAGAGUUUGAAGCUUUCACUGGUCAAGAGUUUGAAAUGAUGUUGUUGGUUGUGCAGGAGCAGGAGGACCAGAUCGGGCACGGGUCAAGGGGGGACGUCACCAUCCUGCCCACACUCGUCAUCAUCGACGUCCAGUAUAGAGGAUUCAUCAAGGUGUCCAGUGAACUAUCCAUUAUUCUUGCCUAUUAG
rnacentral:rRNA from 1 species